rnacentral:rRNA from 1 species
UAGGGAAUCUUCCACAAUGGGCGCAAGCCUGAUGGAGCAACACCGCGUGAGUGAAGAAGGGUUUCGGCUCGUAAAGCUCUGUUGUUAAAGAAGAACACGUAUGAGAGUAACUGUUCAUACGUUGACGGUAUUUAACCAGAAAGUCACGGCUGACUACGUGCCAA